rnacentral:rRNA from 1 species
UACGAAGGGGGCUAGCGUUGCUCGGAAUCACUGGGCGUCAAGGGUGCGUAGGCGGGUUUUUAAGUCAGGGGUGAAAUCCUGGAGCUCAACUCCAGAACUGCCUUUGAUACUGAAGAUCUUGAGUCCGGGAGAGGUGAGUGGAACUGCGAGUGUAGAGGUGAAAUUCGUAGAUAUCAGGAGGAACACCGGUGGCGAAGGCGGCUUUCUGGACGACAACUGACGCUGAGACGCGAAAGCGUGGGUAGCAAACAGG